AUUGAACGCUGGCGGCAGGCUUAACACAUGCAAGUCGAGCGGGGGAGGUUGCUUCGGUAACUGACCUAGCGGCGGACGGGUGAGUAAAGCUUAGGAAUCUGCCUAUUAGUGGGGGACAACAUUCCGAAAGGGAUGCUAAUACCGCAUACGCCCUACGGGGGAAAGCAGGGGAUCUUCGGACCUUGCGCUAAUAGAUGAGCCUAAGUCGGAUUAGCUAGUUGGUGGGGUAAAGGCCUACCAAGGCGACGAUCUGUAGCGGGUCUGAGAGGAUGAUCCGCCACACUGGGACUGAGACACGGCCCAGACUCCUACGGGAGGCAGCAGUGGGGAAUAUUGGACAAUGGGGGGAACCCUGAUCCAGCCAUGCCGCGUGUGUGAAGAAGGCCUUUUGGUUGUAAAGCACUUUAAGCGAGGAGGAGGCUUACCUGGUUAAUACCUAGGAUAAGGGACGUACUCGCAGAAU
rnacentral:rRNA from 1 species